GAUGAACGCUGGCGGCGUGCCUAAUACAUGCAAGUCGAGCGAACGGACGAGAAGCUUGCUUCUCUGAUGUUAGCGGCGGACGGGUGAGUAACACGUGGAUAACCUACCUAUAAGACUGGGAUAACUUCGGGAAACCGUAGCUAAAACCGGAUAAUAUUUUGAACCGCAUGGUUCAAAAGUGAAAGACGGUCUUGCUGUCACUUAUAGAUGGAUCCGCGCUGCAUUAGCUAGUUGGUAAGGUAACGGCUUACCAAGGCAACGAUGCAUAGCCGACCUGAGAGGGUGAUCGGCCACACUGGAACUGAGACACGGUCCAGACUCCUACGGGAGGCAGCAGUAGGGAACCUUCCGCAAUGGGCGAAAGCCUGACGGAGCAACGCCGCGUGAGUGAUGACGGUCUUCGGAUCGUAAAACUCUGUUAUUAGGGAAGAACAUAUGUGUAAGUAACUGUGCACAUCUUGACGGUACCUAAUCAGAAAGCCACGGCUAACUACGUG
rnacentral:rRNA from 1 species